rnacentral:rRNA from 1 species
AACGAACGCUGGCGGCGUGCCUAACACAUGCAAGUCGAACGCGAAAAGCAGUAAUGCUGAGUAGAGUGGCGCGACGGGUGAGUAACACGUAAAUGACAUGUCCUCGAGACGGGAAUAACCAGCCGAAAGGCUGGCUAAUACCCGGUAAGCCCACGUCUUUGGAGAUGAGGGAAAAGGGUCGGGAAUUUUCGAAUCCGAUCGCUUGAGGAGUGGUUUGCGGCCCAUCAGGUAGUUGGCGAGGUAAAAGCUCACCAAGCCUAAGACGGGUAGCUGGUCUGAGAGGAUGAUCAGCCACACUGGAACUGAGACACGGUCCAGACUCCUACGGGAGGCAGCAGUGGGGAAUCUUGCGCAAUGGGAGCAAUCCUGACGCAGCAACGCCGCGUGGGUGAUGAAGGUCUUCGGAUCGUAAAGCCCUGUCGGAGGGGAAGAUGCUUGGAACGUCUAAUAGAUGAGCCAGGUGACGGUACCCUCAAAAGGAAGCACCGGCUAAACUCUGUGCCAG